GGGACAUAUUUUCAACUGCAAAGCCACGGUGGGCCCGGCUGUCAAGGAGAGACCGUGCGGCCGAGCGCCUGGGAGUCGCGGCGGGGCGGCGCGGCGCGGGGCCGCAGGGCGGGGAGGCAGGUGUCCCGGCCGGCCGGUCGCCCCGCCCCCACCGCUGGCAGGAAGAGGAAGCAGCCGGGCCAGGCCCGCGGGCCACCGCCGCGCCUCGCGGGGCGGGGGCGCCCUGGCUCCGGGAGGCGCGUGACCUAGUUCGUCCCAAAGUGGAUUUGACAGAUCAACUCAGAGCCCCAUAAAACAAUGUUGCUGAACUGCAAGGGAUUUGGGAUGGAAGAACAGACAAGUCCGCCAGCUGCGAGUUUCAUAGAGAAUGUGCUCUAGAAAUGUUCCUUUCUGAAGUUCAGCUGCUUCUGGAGCACAUCUUGGAAGAGAAAUAUGUAGCCAAGUUCGUGGGCAUUUGGAGAACGUGAGACCCUGCUUACUAGGAAAUUUUGGUCCUGUAACCUUGGAAGCAGGAUCUGGAUCCAGUAAAAUUGAGGUUGCAGGUGUGCAAGGCUGCACGGUGUGCAACAACUGCUGCCAAUGACUGUGAUGUCACUGAGUUGGAAAAGAAAAGAAGAGACACACAGAGAACAUCAUGUGAGGACACAGACACACAGGGAAGACGGCCAUGUGAUGACGGAGGCCGAGAUUGGAGGGAUGUAUCUACAAGCCAAGGAACGCCCAGGAAUGUGGGCAACCCCCGGAAGCUGAGAGAGGCCAGGAAUAGGUUGUUCCUCAGAGCUUGCCACAAGGAAGCAGCCCUGCUGACACCUUGAUCGUGGACUGGUCGCUACCGGAACUGAGAGACAAUAAAUUUCUGUUGUUUGAAGCCCCCCAGUGUGUGGCAGUUUGCUGUGGCAGCCUUAGGGAUCUAAAACAGUAGUCCUGCACGUGAAUGAAGGAGAGGAACCUAAGAGAGUGUGUGUGUGUGUGUGUUUGUGAGAGAGGGAGAGAAUGAGAGACGGAGGGAGG
rnacentral:lncRNA from 1 species